GGAGAAAACGAGUCGACUCGGAUAGCUCAAUAGAAUUUUCAGGUGUUGAACAAAGAAGUUAUAUCUUCAUAGUGAAAAUCCAUGGAGAAAAGGAGUCGACCCAAAUAGCUCAAUAGAAUUUUUGGUGUCAAACAAAGAAGUUGCAAGUCUCAAACGGAGUUGACCCGAAUAGCUCAAUAGAAUUUUCAGGUGUCGAACAAAGAAGUUGUGAGUCUCGAGGUAUCUUCAUAGUAAAGAUCCAUGGAAAAAAAGAGUUGACCCGAAUAGUACUAACUAUUUAGGAAGAAACUCAACGUUACUUUAUCCGAGAUGGAUAUUAUUAAAGGCUCACAUUGGCUAAUUAAGAGAAAAAUGAAGAUCGAGAACAUAUAAGUAAGCGUAAAGCCACGAAAACUUAUGCUAAACAUAAGGAUAAAGCAUGAUUUGUUGUAAAAAUGGGGUUUUUAUUAGAACACAAAAAA